rnacentral:rRNA from 1 species
UACGAAGGGGGCGAGCGUUGUUCGGAUUUACUGGGCGUAAAGGGCGCGUAGGCGGCCCUCCUUGUCGCGUGUGAAAGCCCCGGGCUCAACCUGGGAAUGGCGCGCGAAACGGGCGGGCUUGAGUUCGGGAGAGGAGCGUGGAAUUCCCAGUGUAGAGGUGAAAUUCGUAGAUAUUGGGAAGAACACCGGUGGCGAAGGCGGCGCUCUGGACCGAGACUGACGCUGAGGCGCGAAAGCUAGGGGAGCAAACAGG